rnacentral:rRNA from 1 species
GACGAGCCACACGAACGUUAUUCGGAAUUACUGGGCUUAAAGGGUGCGUAGGCUGCGCGGCAAGUUGGGUGUGAAAUCCCUCGGCUCAACCGAGGAACUGCGCCCAAAACUACCGUGCUCGAGGAAGAUAGAGGUAAGCGGAACUUACGGUGGAGCGGUGAAAUGCGUUGAUAUCGUAAGGAACACCUGUGGCGAAAGCGGCUUACUGGGUCUUUUCUGACGCUGAUGCACGAAAGCUAGGGGAGCAAACGGG